rnacentral:rRNA from 1 species
UACGUAGGGGGCUAGCGUUGUCCGGAAUCAUUGGGCGUAAAGCGCGCGUAGGCGGUCAGGUAAGUCCGGUGUGAAAGUCAAAGGCUCAACCUUUGAAUGCCGCUGGAUACUGCCUGACUUGAGUCCGGAAGGGGCGAGUGGAAUUCCUGGUGUAGCGGUGAAAUGACGCAGAUAUCGAGAGGAACACCUGCGGCGAAGGCAGCUCGCUAGGACGGUACUGACGCUGAGACGCGAAAGCGUGGGGAGCGAACAGG